rnacentral:rRNA from 1 species
CAGCCGCCGCGGUAAUACGUAGGGUGCGAGCGUUAAUCGGAAUUACUGGGCGUAAGGCGUGCGCAGGCGGUCCUAUAAGUAUGGUGUGAAAUCUCCCGGCUUAACUGGGAGGGUGCGCUAUAGACUGUGGGACUAGAGUGUGGGAGAGGAAAGUGGAAUUCCUGGUGUAUCGGUGAAAUGCGUAGAUAUCGGGAGGAACAUCAGUGGCGAAGGCGGCCAUCUGGGACAACACUGACGCAGAGGCACGAAAGCGUGGGGAGCAAACAGGAUUAGAUACCCCCGUAGUCCCUGUCUCUUAUAC